AGAGUUUGAUCAUGGCUCAGAGUGAACGCUGGCGGCGUGCUUAACACAUGCAAGUCGAACGAUGAACCUAGCUUGCUAGGGGAUUAGUGGCGAACGGGUGAGUAAUAUAUAGCUAACCUGCCCCUUAGAGAGGGACAACAGUUGGAAACGACUGCUAAUACCUCAUACUCCUUUUUACCAUAUGGUAGAUCGGGAAAUGCUCCGGCGCUAAGGGAUGGGGCUUUACGGUAUCAGGUAGUUGGUGGGGUAAAAGCCUACCAAGCCUAUGACGCCUAGCUGGUCUGAGAGGAUGAUCAGCCACACUGGAACUGAGACACGGUCCAGACUCCUACGGGAGGCAGCAGUGGGGAAUAUUGCACAAUGGAGGAAACUCUGAUGCAGCAACGCCGCGUGGAGGAUGACGCAUUUCGGUGUGUAAACUCCUUUUAUAUCCCAAGAUAAUGACGGUAGGAUAUGAAUAAGGACCGGCUAACUCCGUGCCAGCAGCCGCGGUAAUACGGAGGGUCCAAGCGUUACUCGGAAUCACUGGGCGUAAAGGAUGCGUAGGCGGAUAAUCAAGUCAAAAGUGAAAUCCCACGGCUUAA
rnacentral:rRNA from 1 species